rnacentral:misc_RNA from 1 species
AGAAGACCAUCUUUUCCCAUUCAGAUUAAUAUUACAAUGAAGGAAGAAACUCCUCCCUCUUUGAGUCUUCAUGCUACAAUAAGUACUUUCAACUCAUAUCAUGUUCUAAAUGCUAUAAAGGAAACCUAGUCACUCCCAAAGUCUUACCUCUUUCUUUGGGGCUACUAUUACAGUUUUAUUCUUUUGGACAUAAAACACUCAUUCACCCCCUUUUCUCACAAUUUACACAUUACUGGAUUUGAAUGAUUUAGAGAACAAAACUCAUCAGCAAAUUGGACUAAACUCUCUUUCUGUCACUCUAUAUAUACAAUGCUAAAUGAAUUUAGUGUAGGUUUCUUGCGCCUUUCCCCAAAAAUCUCUUCUUUUUAUCUAAAAUCCUUUACGAUGUUGGUUAUUCAACAUCCAACAUCUCUGUGUCAGUAGAUUUACCUAAGCUACAGCUGAGAUGCCGCAGUUGCCGCGACAAUUGAAGCCUUCAAUCCUCACAGGAGCUUGCUUGUUCCCAAACUUCACUCGAACACAGCCUCCUCCGCUCAUGAUGGUGGAGGAGGAGGGUGGUGGUGGUGAGGGUGCCACUGCUCUUUCUGGGAUUGGCAGUAUGGGAACAAAAUUGUGGUUGCCAAAUUGGGCAUCUUGGAUCAGGGGAUUCCCAGCCCUACUGGGUGGAGAUCCAUAAAAGAACGGUGGAGAUGAAUCGACCUCAAAAUUGGCUCUAUCAACUUCAUAGCUCCCCUUUGUGAGGAUGGUAUCCAGCAGCUCAGCUCCAGCUUUCAACUCACAAGCCUCCAUUUCUUCAUUUAUAAAUUGCAUCAGUUGAUAAGGUCUGAUGGGUUCUUCAACAUGAACAGAGUAAGAAUCGAAGAACCCAAGCUUACGGGGCUUGGGACAAACGACACCGUUAGACACAGAAAUGUCUGCUCUCCCUGUUUCUCCAACUCCAACACAACCCACCAAGGCCUUCUGUUGAUAAGCAUACAUAUUCAUCUUCUUUUUUCACGUUCACAACAGAUCCAAAGCCUGGUGGGCUAACAAGUGGAUGCCUGUGGAGGGGAGAGAGAGAGAUUUGUGGGGAGAGUGAGGCGGAGAGAAAAAGAGAGGACCUUUCCCUAGUACGA